rnacentral:rRNA from 1 species
UACAGAGGGUGCAAGCGUUAAUCGGAGUUACUGGGCGUAAAGGGCGCGUAGGCGGUCUGUUAAGUGAGAUGUGAAAGCCCUGGGCUUAACCUAGGAACCGCAUCUUAAACUGACAGGCUGGAGUACUGUAGAGGGUAGUGGAAUUUCCGGUGUAGCGGUGAAAUGCGUAGAGAUCGGAAGGAACACCAGUGGCGAAGGCGGCUACCUGGACAGAUACUGACGCUGAGGCGCGAAAGCGUGGGGAGCAAACAGG